UGGGGAAUAUUGGACAAUGGGGGAAACCCUGAUCCAGCGACGCCGCGUGUGUGAAGAAGGCCUUCGGGUUGUAAAGCACUUUCAGCGAGGAGGAAGGGAGUUGUGUUAAUAGCACAGCUUCUUGACGUUACUCGCAGAAGAAGCACCGGCUAACUCUGUGCCAGCAGCCGCGGUAAUACAGAGGGUGCAAGCGUUAAUCGGAAUUACUGGGCGUAAAGCGCACGUAGGCGGUUUUUAAGUCAGAUGUGAAAGCCCCGGGCUCAACCUGGGAAUUGCAUUUGAAACUGGAAAACUAGAGUGUGUGAGAGGGGGGUAGAAUUCCAAGUGUAGCGGUGAAAUGCGUAGAGAUUUGGAGGAAUACCAGUGGCGAAGGCGGCCCCCUGGCACAACACUGACGCUCAGGUGCGAAAGCGUGGGUAGCGAACAGGAUUAGAUACCCAUGUAGUCCCUGAGCGGGCUGGCAAGGCGCAU
rnacentral:rRNA from 1 species